rnacentral:rRNA from 1 species
GCGGCUCUGCAGUCAGGUGUGAAAACUAUGGGCUUAACCCAUAACGUGCACUUGAAACUGUGGAGCUUGAGUGAAGUAGAGGCAGGCGGAAUUCCCGGUGUAGCGGUGAAAUGCGUAGAGAUCGGGAGGAACACCAGUGGCGAAGGCGGCCUGCUGGGCUUUAACUGACGCUGAGGCACGAAAGCAUGGGUAGCAAACAGGAUUAGAUACCCUGGUAGUCCAUGCCGUAAACGAUGAUUACUAGGUGUGGGUGGUCUGACCCCAUCCGUGCCGGAGUUAACACAAUAAGUAAUCCACCUGGGAAGUACGACCGCAAGGUUGAAACUCAAAGGAAUUGACGGGGGCCCGCACAAGCAGUGGAGUAUGUGGUUUAAUUCGAAGCAACGCGAAGAACCUUACCAGGUCUUGACAUCCAACUAACGAAGCAGAGAUGCAUUAGGUGCCCUUCGGGGAAAGUUGAGACAGGUGGUGCAUGGUUGUCGUCAGCUCGUGUCGUGAGAUGUUGGGUUAAGUCCCGCAACGAGCGCAACCCUUGUGAUUAGUUGCUACGCAAGAGCCACUCUAA